rnacentral:rRNA from 1 species
UACGAAGGGGGCUAGCGUUGUUCGGAAUUACUGGGCGUAAAGCGCAUGUAGGCGGAUUGUUAAGUCGGGGGUGAAAUCCCAGGGCCCAACCCUGGAACUGCCUUCGAUACUGAUGAUCUCGAGUGUGGAAGAGGUUGGUGGAACUGCGAGUGUAGAGGUGAAAUUCGUAGAUAUUCGCAAGAACACCAGUGGCGAAGGCGGCCAACUGGUCCAUUACUGACGCUGAGAUGCGAAAGCGUGGGGAGCAAACAGG